rnacentral:rRNA from 1 species
UACGAAGGGGGCUAGCGUUGCUCGGAAUCACUGGGCGUAAAGGGUGCGUAGGCGGGUCUUUAAGUCAGGGGUGAAAUCCUGGAGCUCAACUCCAGAACUGCCUUUGAUACUGAGGAUCUUGAGUUCGGGAGAGGUGAGUGGAACUGCGAGUGUAGAGGUGAAAUUCGUAGAUAUUCGCAAGAACACCAGUGGCGAAGGCGGCAUCCUGGACCAACACUGACGCUGAGGAGCGAAAGCCAGGGGAGCAAACGGG